CCUAGUGCUCAGGACGAACGCUGGCGGCGUGCUUAACACAUGCAAGUCGAACGAUGAACUGGGAGCUUGCUCCUGGGGAUUAGUGGCGAACGGGUGAGUAACACGUGAGUAACCUGCCCUGGACUCUGGGAUAACCCCGAGAAAUCGGAGCUAAUACCGGAUAGGACCCUGUACCGCAUGGUGUGGGGUGGAAAGUUUUUUCGGUCUGGGAUGGACUCGCGGCCUAUCAGCUUGUUGGUGAGGUAAUGGCUCACCAAGGCGUCGACGGGUAGCAGCGUGCCUGAGAGGGUGACCGGCCACACUGGGACUGAGACACGGCCCAGACUCCUACGGGAGGCAGCAGUGGGGAAUAUUGCACAAUGGGCGAAAGCCUGAUGCAGCAACGCCGCGUGAGGGAUGACGGCCUUCGGGUUGUAAACCUCUUUUAGCAGGGAAGAAGCGAAAGUGACGGUACCUGCAGAAAAAGCACCGGCUAACUACGUGCCAGCAGCCGCGGUAAUACGUAGGGUGCGAGCGUUGUCCGGAAUUAUUGGGCGUAAAGAGCUCGUAGGCGGUUUGUCGCGUCUGCUGUGAAAGCCCGAGGCUCAACCUCGGGUCUGCAGUGGGUACGGGCAGACUUGAGUGCGGUAGGGGAGACUGGAAUUCCUGGUGUAGCGGUGGAAUGCGCAGAUAUCAGGAGGAACACCGAUGGCGAAGGCAGGUCUCUGGGCCGUAACUGACGCUGAGGAGCGAAAGCGUGGGGAGCGAACAGGAUUAGAUACCCUGGUAGUCCACGCCGUAAACGUUGGGCGCUAGAUGUGGGGACCUUUCCACGGUUUCCGUGUCGUAGCUAACGCAUUAAGCGCCCCGCCUGGGGAGUACGGCCGCAAGGCUAAAACUCAAAGGAAUUGACGGGGGCCCGCACAAGCGGCGGAGCAUGCGGAUUAAUUUGAUGCAACGCGAGGAACCUUACCAAGGCUUGACAUAACCGAGAACGGGGCCAGAAAUGGUCAACUCUUUGGACACUCGGUUACAGGUGGUGCAUGGUUGUCGCCAGCUCGUGUCGUGAGAUGUUGGGUUAAGUCCCGCAACGAGCGCAACCCUCGUCGCAUGUUGCCAGCACGUAACGGUGGGGAACUCAUGGUGAGAACUGCCGGGGUCAACUCGGAGGAAGUGUGGGGAAUGGAACGUUCAAUCAUCACUCAUGGCCCCUUAUGUCUUUGGGCCUUCACGCAUGCUACAAUGGCCGGUACAAAGGGCUGCGAUGUCGUAAGGCGGAGCGAAUCCCAAAAAGCCGGUCUCAGUUCGGAUUGAGGUCUGCAACUCGACCUCAUGAAGUCGGAGUCGCUAGUAAUCGCAGAUCAGCAACGCUGCGGUGAAUACGUUCCCGGGCCUUGUACACACCGCCCGUCAAGUCAUGAAAGUCGGUAACACCCGAAGCCGGUGGCCUAACCCUUGUGGAGGGAGCCGUCGAAGGUGGGAUCGGUGAUUAGGACUAAGUCGUAACUAAGGAUA
rnacentral:rRNA from 1 species